rnacentral:rRNA from 1 species
GAUAAACGCUGGCGGCGUGCCUUAUGCAUGCAAGUCGAACGUGAAGCCGGCUUCGGCCGGUGGAAAGUGGCGAACGGGUGAGUAACACGUAGGAACCUGCCCGGAAGUGGGGGAUAACCCCGCGAAAGCGGGGCUAAUACCGCAUGUGGUCGAAAGACUAAAGCUUCGGCGCUUCCGGAGGGGCCUGCGGCGGAUUAGCUAGUUGGUGGGGUAACGGCCUACCAAGGCGACGAUCCGUAGCUGGUCUGAGAGGAUGGUCAGCCACACUGGAACUGAGACACGGUCCAGACUCCUACGGGAGGCAGCAGCAAGGAAUUUUGCGCAAUGGGCGAAAGCCUGACGCAGCAACGCCGCGUGGGGGAAGAAGGCCUUCGGGUUGUAAACCCCUUUUGCGAGGGAAGAAGAUCUGACGGUACCUCGCGAAUAAGCCACGGCUAACUACGUGCCAGCAGCCGCCGUAAAA